GACUCACUCAACCUGGGUGUGAUGCUUGCCUAUUUAUCAGGCCCUAGUGGUCAUCACAACCUUUUUGAGUGAGCGA
rnacentral:pre_miRNA from 2 species